GAGGCAGCAGUGGGGAAUAUUGCACAAUGGGCGCAAGCCUGAUGCAGCGACGCCGCGUGAGGGAUGACGGCCUUCGGGUUGUAAACCUCUUUCAGCAGGGAAGAAGCGAAAGUGACGGUACCUGCAGAAGAAGCGCCGGCUAACUACGUGCCAGCAGCCGCGGUAAUACGUAGGGCGCAAGCGUUGUCCGGAAUUAUUGGGCGUAAAGAGCUCGUAGGCGGCUUGUCGCGUCGGUUGUGAAAGCCCGGGGCUUAACCCCGGGUCUGCAGUCGAUACGGGCAGGCUAGAGUUCGGUAGGGGAGAUCGGAAUUCCUGGUGUAGCGGUGAAAUGCGCAGAUAUCAGGAGGAACACCGGUGGCGAAGGCGGAUCUCUGGGCCGAUACUGACGCUGAGGAGCGAAAGCGUGGGGAGCGAACAGGAUUAGAUACCCUGGUAGUCCACGCCGUAAACGGUGGGCACUAGGUGUGGGCAACAUUCCACGUUGUCCGUGCCGCAGCUAACGCAUUAAGUGCCCCGCCUGGGGAGUACGGCCGCAAGGCUAAAACU
rnacentral:rRNA from 1 species